rnacentral:rRNA from 1 species
UGAGGAGAAGCUGAGGAGCACGCCGCGUGAGUGAUGAAGGUUUUCGGAUCGUAAAACUCUGUUGUUAGGGAAGAACAAGUACCGUUCGAAUAGGGCGGNACCUUGACGGUACCUAACCAGAAAGCCACGGCUAACUACGUGCCAGCAGCCGCGGUAAUACGA